UUGCCUUGGUAGCAGUUGUUUAUUAAUGUUAAUUCCUGCAAUGUUAUAUAGCAGUUACAAUAGGUAAGGGGGGCUAAUUCCCAUUUUAUAUAAAGGAGAAAGUCAUACGAUCAGUUGUUUUUGAAUAGUGUGGCUUUAGAAUUGGGCAUCAAAUGGAAACAAGCUGACAGCAGCUGUGUUAGGAAACUUGCAGUGAAACUACCAUUUGCCCUUAUAGCUGUAAACAAUGUAACAGAAAAAGGACGUAAUAAAAAAAAUAAAGUGGUGCCAACUUCUGUGCUGCUUAUAUACAGUAUGAAAAUUGGUAAUAUAACCUAGGAAUAGGCAGACAGUAUCAAGCAGGAAUUUGUUCAGCCAUCCAUGAAUACAUUGUUCCAUCAUUCCAGUAAUAUUGCACCUCAGCUCAGUGCUUUAGGCUUUCGACAGUUCUCCUAUUCCCCCACUGAUCACUUAGCAGAUCAUGGGGUAAAAUAAAAUGUGAAGGACUUCUGCUCAUUGCUGAGAUCACAACAGAGCCUAAAUUUGUUCUGCUUCUAUGAAUGAGUCUGUCCUUCAGGUUGCUACGGAAAGUAAGGGGUAACUAGCCACUUUGAGCUCUACUGUACACAGCAUAUUGUGUCUCUUUGCCAGGCCGGCAUAUAGGAAUACCUGAUUGAUCUUUUUAACUUCUAUGUAUGUUCUAGUAAUACACAACUUUCACAGUAAAAUUUAUGUUGUACAUUGGUCUGUAAGCAUUAAAAGUGAACAAAUCUA